UGGGGAAUAUUGCACAAUGGGCGCAAGCCUGAUGCAGCAACGCCGCGUGAACGAUGAAGGUCUUCGGAUCGUAAAGUUCUGUUGCAGGGGAAGAUAAUGACGGUACCCUGUGAGGAAGCCCCGGCUAACUACGUGCCAGCAGCCGCGGUAAUACGUAGGGGGCUAGCGUUAUCCGGAAUUAUUGGGUUUAAAGGGUGCGUAGGUUGCAAGGGAAGUCAGGGGUGAAAAGCUAUAGCUCAACUAUGGUCUUGCCUUUGAAACUCUCUAGCUAGAGUGUACUGGAGGUACGUGGAACGUGUGGUGUAGCGAUGAAAUGCAUAGAUAUCACACAGAACUCCGAUUGCGCAGGCAGCGUACUACAUUACAACUGACACUGAAGCACGAAAGCGUGGGUAUCAAACAGG
rnacentral:rRNA from 1 species